GGCUGGGGCUUAGUUGGUAGAGUGCUUGCCUAACCUGCACAGAGUCCCAGGUUCGAUUCCCAGCAGUGCA
rnacentral:tRNA from 1 species